rnacentral:rRNA from 1 species
CCUACGGGAUGCAGCAGUGGGGGAUAUUGCACAAUGGGGGAAACCCUGAUGCAGCGACGCCGCGUGGGUGAAGAAGCGCCUCGGCGCGUAAAGCCCUGUCAGCAGGGAAGAAAAUGACGGUACCUGAAGAAGAAGCCCCGGCUAACUACGUGCCAGCAGCCGCGGUAAUACGUAGGGGGCAAGCGUUAUCCGGAUUUACUGGGGUUAAAGGGGGCGUAGACGGCGAUGCAAGCCAGGAGUGAAAGCCCGGGGCCCAACCCCGGGACUGCUCUUGGAACUGCGUGGCUAGAGUGCAGGAGGGGCAGGCGGAAUGCCUGGUGUAGCGGUGAAAUGCGUAGAUAUCAGGAGGAACACCGGUGGCGAAGGCGGCCUGCUGGACUGCAACUGACGUUGAGGCCCGAAAGCGUGGGGAGCAAACAGGAUUAGAUACCCGAGUAGUC